UUUGUUGUGUGGUUGUUGUUAUAUGACUUUUUUAUGUGGCUCGUUUCCAUUUUACAAAUUUGUGUUGUUGUUGAUUGUUGAGAUGGUGGAGAGAAAAAGGUGGUGAUGAAUGGAUUAUGGAAGGCGAGUUUAUUGAAGUUUGAUGAUUUUUUUUUGUUAUGUUUUAUUUUUGAUUUUCUAUUUUCAUUAAAAUGGUUUAAAUGUUGUAUUGAGAGGUUGUUUAUUAUUGUUUGAAGAUGCUAAUGGUUGAGAAGGUUAGGUUCUUAUUGAAAGUGAGAAUUAUCGUGUAAGGUGAAGAUAAUGAUGUGAUGGUAAUAUGGUUUUGGUCGUAAUGAAAGGAGAAGUGCGAAGGCCAUUUUUUUUGUUACAGAUGAUGAAGGUUUAUGUGGAGGUUUAUUGGUUUGAAGUAUGAAUGUGAUAAGUGGUGGAGAGAAUGGUUGAUGGAUGUAGGAGAAAGAUGAAUAUGAAAGGAGGGGGAAAGAGCAAAUUUCAUGUAUGUUUGUGUAUGAGAAAGGAGACUGAUUUUUCUUCUUUUUGUAAGGACUUUUGUUAACUUUUAGAUCCAUUUUUUGUGGAAGAUUUUGAUUAGUGGAAGAUCAUAUGAGGUGUGAAGAUAUUUGUGAGUGAAUAAUGAGUGAAUAGUG
rnacentral:lncRNA from 1 species